UGGCCCCCCUUCUUCUCUCUCCUCCCUCUCUUCUUCCUCUCUCUCCCGUGCGACUCCUCCAUCUCCAUCUUCUUCAUCUCCUUCUUUGAAAACCCAGCAACCAGCGAGCUGGAGAAGCCGCCCCCUUCGCCGAUCGUCGCUCGCCGCCGGUGCCAUCGUCGUCGCCACCGCCGCCGUGCGUCCGUCCCGCGCCGCUCGCGCGCGCUCGCCGGCCUGCCGUCGCACCGUCUCCGCUCCGCCUCAGCCCGCGUCCCCAGCAGAUCUGAGGAGGCGUCGAAGCUGGAGCAGCCAUGGCCGUCCACCCGCGCGCUCGUCGCUGGCCGUCCCUCCGCUCGCUCGCCGUCGCAGCCCCGCGAGCUGCUCCGCCCGGCCGUCCUCGUCGUCCCUGCUGUUCCGCGAGUCCAGCAGCGAUUCCAGAUCUGGGGAAGCUCAGCCGGAGCCGUCCAGCUCACCUCCGGCCACCGUGAGGCCCCGCCGUUGGCCGUGCGGCACCGCCGCAGCUCCUCCGCCCGUUUUCGACCCAAGCCGGCGCCGGAUCCGCCCAUUCUCGGCCUCAAACCGCCAUGGACAGCAGCUGCAGAAAAUGGGUAUGCAGCGGACGUUUGGCCCGUUUUGGCCGCCUUCCCGAGCCCGGAUGCUCGGCCCGCUUUGAGGAAAGUCGAUCCUCGCGUCGUCCUCGUCGUUUUGGUUCGCUCGGCUCGCUAAUCCGGUGAGUUUAGCUCACUAAACCUCGCUUAGAGGGUUAAUUAUGCUUUAGGUGUGCUUAGUUUAUGUUAAGUGUGAUUAGGUGGUUAGUUUGAUUUAUUUAAGUGUGGAUUAUAUUAAUGUGUUUAAUUAGCUUAAUUUGUGUUUAAUUUAAAGUUAAAUUGGUGUUUAUAUUAAUAUAAACCUUGAUGUGACAAAAAGGAAUUUACUUUUGAUUUAUUUAAAUAUCUCGAAAUUAUUGAAUAAUUAAAUAAUAUUUUAAUAUUCGAAAUUAUUAAAAUAUUAUUAUUUAAUUAUUUUCGGAAUAAAUUUAAUUAUUUAUUAAAUUCCGAAAAUUUUGGUCGGGACCCUAAAUUCUCAAAAUUUCGUGCCGGUCGCUACGGUACGUUCGGAUUUUGAAAUUGAUGAUUGGAUAUUAUAAAUUGAGUGUGGAUUUCGAAAACUGUGGAUAUUAUUAUUUAAUUAUUUUCGGAAUAAAUUUAAUUAUUUAUUAAAUUCCGAAAAUUUUCAUUGGGACCUUAUUUGCUCAGAAUUUCGUGCCGAUCGCUGCUGUGCAUUUAGAAUUUGAUAUUUAUGAUUGGUUGUGGCGAAUUGAAUGUGAUUUCGAUUUAUGAGGAUUCUUUAUAAAAUUCUAAGUGUGGAAAUUGAUGGGCGAUAGGCCGUUAUAUGCCACCUGAUAAAGGUCGCGCCCGAUGGGGCCGUUAUAUGCCACCUAUUAGAGGUCGCGCCCGAUGGGGCCGUGAUAUGCCACCUGUUAAAGGUCGCGCCGAGUGGGGCCGUGAUGCCACUGAUUCUAAUUUUGCCGAGUAUGCUUUGACUGUGUGAUAACUAAGAGGAAUCGUCCUGGGCUGCUGAGCCGGACUUGCCCCUAUAUGGGUUGCCCACGCGGUGGAUGCCGAUCGCAGUAGAGGCUGGGCCGACUGGAUCGAUGCUCUUUCGGGAAUGCCGUCGACGUAGUGACGAAGCCGUGCUCCAAGGGGGGAGACGAUGCUCCUUCGGGAAUGCCGUCGACGUACUGACGAAGCCGCGCUCCAUGGGGGGGAGGCGAUGCCUGGCAUUAGUGUCAGUAGAUAGCCGAACUGCGAGUAGGCUAUGCCCUUGCGUGGCAGUGAAUAACAAUUGGAAUGCAUGUUGAGUGUUGUUGAUGUGUCGGAUUAUGGGACGGAAUUGUGUGGCAUGGAAUGGGACGUGUCAUAACGAUUUAGUCUUAUAAUCAGGACCCCCGCGGUUGUUAGAUAUAUGAAAGUGAAUACGUUCCGAUUGUUUAAGUUCCUCUUACUAUCUGUGAUUGAGUGAUUUGAAUUGCGCUAACCUGCAGGAAGGAACUGAGGUGAGGUAAGUCUUCUGUGUGAUGUGGCUAGGCCACCUUUGGGCGUAUUUUCUUUCUAAUAGGGGUUUAGGGGGUUGAACUUGCUGAGACGUUGUCUCAGUGGUUAUCGAAUAACCAUUUCAGGUCCCUGGUGGACGGAGCGGCCGGAUAGCUUUGGUUGGCCUUGAGGAGUUGCAGAGGUGAAGUCAUAAGAUUGGAGAACGUGUCCGACCUGUAGGUCGUAGGACAAUUCUUUUUUUUUCAGAGCCGGUCUUUUGUAGACUUUUGGCCGUAGACCCCUGUUUGUAAUUCUGUUGAAUUAUGUUUAAAUGUUAUGUUGUGGUUUUGCUUCCUGCUUUUCUACCCCAUAGUUUAUUGUCAGGGGAUUUAUUUCGCUUCCGCAUGCGUAAUGAAGAAAAUGGGUCGGCGACAUAUCUUGAGAUGUCGCAUUUUUGAUCGACCGUAGUGGGAUGUGCGCGUGCUCGGGGUUCGGGGCGUGACACAUCGUGUUGUUCAGCUUAUGGUGACCCUUGAAAGUCAACUUGGG
rnacentral:lncRNA from 1 species